rnacentral:lncRNA from 1 species
GAUGCGCUGGAACCAGAGGCUCACAUCCCACCAGUGCUCCUGUAACUGUAUCUCUUCUAUGAGGAAAUUGGGAGUCAAGAAAUGAACGAAUGCAUGACUAUCUAACCCACUCAGCCUGCCUGUGCACCACCCCGCUCCCAGCAGCCGUGGCCAGGCUAUGUGUCCAGAGAGCUGGGGGCCUGGGCCCUGGAGCAGUGACCCCGGCUUUCUCUUUGACUUUCCCGCUCCGGAGGACUUGUACCAGUAGCUCACCGCGAUUCGCUCUAACACGGUCCUGGUGCAGGUGCUCCCAGAGUUGUAAACAAGGGGCCUGCUGGGCUCUGCCCCUGAAGCCCCCCAGCUUCCCAGAACCGGCAGCCCCAGUUCCUGUGCAGCUGCUGCUCUUUCUGUAAGGCCUUUGCAAGCCUCACUGCCCCUUCUGGUGUCGGGACAGAGGCUCAGGGCAAUGGAGUGACUAGUGUUGGAAUGUUCACAUGGGAAACGUACACCUUGAAGCUGUAGAAACAGUUGUAAAUCGCCACAGAAUGGAAGUCCCAAAACGAAUGAAUCUUUGCUGCUUCUGUACCACGUGUACAGCUCUGUGACAUUGCUUCCUGCAAUCUGCAUGCUUGUGUCCACGUCUGUCUCCCCUACUUGACUGUCCAUCCUUAAGGACAGAGACGCUGACUCAUGGAUGUCUCUCUCCCUGGCCCAGCACAUGGCCUGAGGCAGGAAGCGGGUGUUGGUCUGAGCAGUGAGAGCAGGUCAGUGUGUCUGGUGGUAAGGAAUUAGCGAAGGGGGAUGCGAGGCGAGGCUGGAGGAAAAGCAAGA